GCCCUUUUCCCUCUUUCACUUUGCUUUUUCCGCUCUCAUUUUUUCCUCUCACUUUCUCAUCAUCUUCUUCAAUGAGCGGUGAAAUCUACUGGACUUCUCGUUGUUCUUCAUCAAAAACCUCCAUUAAAGACACAUUGCCCACUUUGAAAGCUCAUCUUUGAAGAGAGUUGCGAUGCAGUCAUGGUCUGUUGCUCCCUUUGAAGACUUCUUGGUCCGACAACAACCCCGGAAGAAGGUUUUGGUCUUGCCCAUAUUAUGGUGCAAGAAAGUGUAAUUUCUUUCGAUGGAGGGAUGGCACUACAAAAGAAUCAGCUUUUACUGACGGACGAAAUCCGUCGCUAAUCUAUGAUAUUCCGUCGCUAGACAGGAUUAGCGACGGAUUAUUGACUGUUACUAUAUCGCUUGUUGAUAAUCUCUUAGUGACGAAAAAUGUGUUCCGUCAUAAAUUUAGCGACGGACUAAUCCGUCAUUAUAUUUAUAAAAUCGUUGCUAAUUUCACAAUUCA